rnacentral:tRNA from 1 species
GGGCAAUUAGCUCAGUGGUAGAGCAUCUCGUUGACGUCGAGAGGGUCGCAGGUUCAAGUCCUGCAUUGCCCA